GUAGUCUGCAACCGACUACAUGAAGCUGGAAUCGCUAGUAAUCGCGGAUCAGAAUGCCGCGGUGAAUACGUUCCCGGGUCUUGUACACACCGCCCGUCACACCAUGGGAGUCGGAAAUGCCCGAAGUCUGUGACCCAACCUUAGGGAGGGAGCAGCCGAAGGCAGGUCGGAUGACUGGGGUGAAGUCGUAACAAGGUAAC
rnacentral:rRNA from 1 species